rnacentral:tRNA from 1 species
GCCCAGAUAGCUCAGUCGGUAGAGCAGGGGAUUGAAAAUCCCCGUGUCGGCGGUUCGAUUCCGUCUCUGGGGACCC